UGCAAGUCGAGCGAACAGACAAGGAGCUUGCUCCUUUGACGUUAGCGGCGGACGGGUGAGUAACACGUGGGUAACCUACCUAUAAGACUGGGAUAACUUCGGGAAACCGGAGCUAAUACCGGAUAAUAUUUCGAACCGCAUGGUUCGAUAGUGAAAGAUGGUUUUGCUAUCACUUAUAGAUGGACCCGCGCCGUAUUAGCUAGUUGGUAAGGUAACGGCUUACCAAGGCGACGAUACGUAGCCGACCUGAGAGGGUGAUCGGCCACACUGGAACUGAGACACGGUCCAGACUCCUACGGGAGGCAGCAGUAGGGAAUCUUCCGCAAUGGGCGAAAGCCUGACGGAGCAACGCCGCGUGAGUGAUGAAGGUCUUCGGAUCGUAAAACUCUGUUAUUAGGGAAGAACAUACGUGUAAGUAACUAUGCACGUCUUGACGGUACCUAAUCAGAAAGCCACGGCUAACUACGUGCCAGCAGCCGCGGUAAUACGUAGGUGGCAAGCGUUAUCCGGAAUUAUUGGGCGUAAAGCGCGCGUAGGCGGUUUUUUAAGUCUGAUGUGAAAGCCCACGGCUCAACCGUGGAGGGUCAUUGGAAACUGGAAAACUUGAGUGCAGAAGAGGAAAGUGGAAUUCCAUGUGUAGCGGUGAAAUGCGCAGAGAUAUGGAGGAACACCAGUGGCGAAGGCGACUUUCUGGUCUGUAACUGACGCUGAUGUGCGAAAGCGUGGGGAUCAAACAGGAUUAGAUACCCUGGUAGUCCACGCCGUAAACGAUGAGUGCUAAGUGUUAGGGGGUUUCCGCCCCUUAGUGCUGCAGCUAACGCAUUAAGCACUCCGCCUGGGGAGUACGACCGCAAGGUUGAAACUCAAAGGAAUUGACGGGGACCCGCACAAGCGGUGGAGCAUGUGGUUUAAUUCGAAGCAACGCGAAGAACCUUACCAAAUCUUGACAUCCUUUGACAACUCUAGAGAUAGAGCCUUCCCCUUCGGGGGACAAAGUGACAGGUGGUGCAUGGUUGUCGUCAGCUCGUGUCGUGAGAUGUUGGGUUAAGUCCCGCAACGAGCGCAACCCUUAAGCUUAGUUGCCAUCAUUAAGUUGGGCACUCUAAGUUGACUGCCGGUGACAAACCGGAGGAAGGUGGGGAUGACGUCAAAUCAUCAUGCCCCUUAUGAUUUGGGCUACACACGUGCUACAAUGGACAAUACAAAGGGCAGCGAAACCGCGAGGUCAAGCAAAUCCCAUAAAGUUGUUCUCAGUUCGGAUUGUAGUCUGCAACUCGACUACAUGAAGCUGGAAUCGCUAGUAAUCGUAGAUCAGCAUGCUACGGUGAAUACGUUCCCGGGUCUUGUACACACCGCCCGUCACACCACGAGAGUUUGUAACACCCGAAGCCGGUGGAGUAACCAUUUGGAGCUAGCCGUCGAAGGUGGGACAAAUGAUUGGGGUGAAGUCG
rnacentral:rRNA from 1 species